rnacentral:lncRNA from 1 species
GAUAGCUUCAUUUUAUUUACUUAUUUUUAUAGUUUAUUUUAGUACAUUUCAUUCGCAUUUUAGUUAACUUUCAUGCAUAUUUUCCCUUUUGUUAUUUUUAUGACCAUUUCGGGGUACUUUCUAGUUUCUUGAGCAUUAUUGCAGAUUUUCUUGGAAACUAGCGGGGCGGCACUUUUGCGAGGCGAUUGGGCUUGAAGGGAAUUGGAGGUUUCAUGCUUGAUGGCUAUGAAGGUGAUUCAUGGGGUGGACUUGUCAAUUGCUUGAAGGCUUGGAAGAAUUGAGCUUUAAAUUUGAAAGAUGCGGGGGAACAUUCAAGCGUAUGAAAAUUAUUAAUCGGACGAGUUCACGAGCAUUGGAGGAUUUAGAGAGGUCAAAUUGGGCUUUAAAUAAAGAAAAACUUGAAGAAAAUGGGCUAGGAGGUGAUUGGAUUCGAUCUGGGCUAGUGGGAUAUGCUUUAGAGGCCCAAAAUCUCAAAGGAGCCCAUGUCAGGUACCACCCGCGCAACCCACCCGCGCAGCAGCACGCGGGUCGCGCAAGGCCCUGCAGGGGCAAUUUCGGGAAUCCUUCUUUUGAGCUAUUUGAGGAAGGUUGGUGCCCAUCUUUUGCACACUCUUGGACAUCCGAUUUUUGAAGAUUCUCUCUGGAGUUUUGGAGACUUUUGAAGGCCAAGAACCCUUGAAGAACAUCAUAUUUUUACCUCUUGAUUCUUGCUUAAUGUUUGGUACAAAUUUCUCUAACUUUGUUUCUUUGUGUUUAGCCAUGCUUGGCUAAACUAAUCUUGGUUGACUUUUGGUUAAUCCUUUGAACUUUUGUUGAAUGUUGAAGAAUCCAUGAACAUGUUCUUAAAUCUUUAUGGGAAUGUUUUGUGUUUUAACAUCUUAUCACUACUUGUAUGUUUUAGUUCAUGAGUUUAAAUGUGUUUGUGGUGAUUAGUUGGCUAAUUUCUUGAUUAAGUAAAGGAUCCUCAAAUUAGCAAGCAACAAAUGAUUUUUGUGUUGUUUUUGCUUCACACAAUCAUAAAAACAUUUCCUCCAACAUGGUGGUGAAAGCAUUUGACCCCUCUUGGAUUUGGUGACUUUUUGGUUCUUAAUGCUAGUUGACUUUCACUAAUUACAUGCUAUUUGGAAUUAGUGACUUUGACUAAGGAAAUUGUUAUGAGCUUCUCUAGCCAUUUCAACAAUUAAGAAAAGUCUAGGUAAUCUCAAGCUCCUUGGAUUACUAUAGCCAAAUUAAGGAUUUAAAUCAAAGUAUUGCACCAUUGGAUUCUAAUGAUAUGUUCAUCAAAAGUCAAAGUGAGGAAACUUUAAGUCAACCAUCUCUCCCUUAUUGAUUUUACAUCAAACUCUUAUUUUUGUUGCAUUUGUCUAUUUAAAUCAUAGUUAAUUCUAGUUUGUUUCAAGUAUUUCAAAACACCAAAACCCCCCAUUUUAUUUUUAUUGUCAUUUUACAAGUAUUUUUACAAAGAGAUUUUUCAUAGAGUUAUAAAUUGAACCAAUCUCCGUGGAUUCGAUCCCUUUACCACUAUACACUAUUUUAGUGUGUAAUAUUUAGGGUUAUUAUUUGUGUUGGCCUCGACAACCACCAAAUUUUUGGCGCCGUUGCCGGGGAUUGGUUUUGAUUUAAUCAGUUUGUUUCUCUAUGCCUACAUCUCAUUGUGCAGGUACUCUAAUUUAAAACCCCGAAAUUAAAAAAAAAAGUAUGAUUUGGAAAUGAACACUCCUUGCACCGAAGACCAACUUUCUGAGCUAGCUCAGUUAGUUAUGAUGAUUGAAAGUGACCAAAGUGUGCAGCCCACACCUCUUCUUUGCGAUUUUUGUGCCCAAAAUGGACAUCAUUCCGACACGUGUCCAUAUUUACAAGGAGAAUGGGAAGAAGUGCAAGAUAAGGGAAGCUACUACCGGUCAAACCAAUGGAGUUAUGAUCAGCCUCAACAUGAUCAAUGGUGGGACAACAACCAAGUUUGGGGAAAUAACCAUUACCAAAACCCAUACCAAACAUGGGGAAAUAACCAAUACCAACCAACUCCACUGUUCCAAGAACCCUAUCCUUACCCUCCUCAACAAACUGAAACGCCAAGCAUGUCCUUAGAGGACAUUGUGAAAAGCAUUGCCACUUCUACCCAAAUUUUCCAGGAAACAACUCAAGCUAGCCUCAAAAGCUUAGAGCAACAAAUAACACAAAUUGCUCAAUCAUUGAGUAUAGUGGAAUCUCAACACAAAUUACCAUCUGAAGAGAGCCCAUGUCAUAACGCAUGUUGCAUUCCUUUGAAAGAUGAGAAAACUUUUGAUGCCCCAAGAGUGUUAUAUGAAGAAGAGGAAGAAGAAGUAGAAGUGGAAGAAGUUGUCAAAGAGGAAGAAGAAAUUAAGAAUGUUGUCAAUGAAACUGUAAAGGAAGUAAUAGGGGUUAACGAAAGAGAGGUUGAGUCACCCACUACCAUUGAGAAACUAACUCCAGUGGUAGACCAACCACAAGAGCCACAAACGAUAAAUUUGUCGGACUCUUCAAAGGUUACCUAUCCCGAGAAAGAAGACGCCCAACCGGUCACCUACUCAACCACCAUGUCAAAGAGGGAAGAGUUGGUCACCUUACGGAACAAGUACGAGAGAGAAUAUGGUUGGAUGAUUUCUAUUAUCAAAGGUCUAAGUCCGGUAUGGUUCUCCCGUAAAAAGAAAGUCAAAUACAAGAAAAGAGUCCCAAUGGAGGUGUGGAAAUUAAAAAAUGUAGACACGGGGCAAAUUUGCAAGGUUAAUGGACAUCGAUUGAAGCCAUUCAAUGAAGGUUUUGAUUCAAAUGUCCAAGAUGUCGUCCAUUUGGACGCCCCAAAGUGUUAAAGUGAAGUUUGGAGGCGUCUCGCCAAAGACGUUAAAGAAGGGCAUUUUUGGAAAGCAUUGUGUUUUCGUGUUUUUAAUUUGAACAAAAUGAGUUUUGAAGAUGUUUUUGGGAUUCAAAAGAGUUGUUUUUUGAAGAAAUCAAGAGUUUCUAGGUGUUUGGGGCUGUCCGAAGCAAGAACGGGUGAAAAACGAAGAAAAAUGAAGCGAAAAUGAAGAUCAGCAUCAGCGGGUUGCGCGACCCGCGUGCUGUUGCGCGGGUGGGUUGCGCGGCCAGGUGUGAUGAAGCGACAUUGGCCCAAGACUUAACUGCAAGGUCUGCGCGACCCGCGUGCUACACUGCGCGACCCGCGCACUGUGCUGGGCAAUUUGGGCUAUUUUUGGCUAUUAUUUGACCAAGUGUUGACCAAAGGUUUUAAUGAGUUGACCUUUUGACUUUUCUUGACCAACAUUGACCGAAAUUGACCCUUUUUGACCCAUAGAUUAAAAUGUUCAGCUUCCCUUCUUCUUCAUUUAAUCAUCUUGACCUCCCACUCCAUUCCUCUCAUAUAACCUUCCAGCACCCACCUCGCCGGAAAAUUCAAGAUUGUCGGAGUUCUACUGGUCGUAAUUUCACGAAACCACCACCACAGACAUCUCCCAUCAUCCAAUCCUCCGAUUUAGGUCAUUUUUGCCCUUACCUUAAGCAUUGAGGACAAUGCUUGUUCUUAAGCUUGGGGUGGGGCAUUUCAUUUUCCUUUUAUAUUUUUUUUCCAUGCAUUUUUAAUUAGGUUGCAUAACAUUUUAGAUUUAAGCUAAUUUUCAUUCAUUUUUUUUAAAUCCAAAAAAAUUUUAUUUUUUCUUUUUCACCUUUUAUAUUUUUGCAUAACAUUUAGCUUAGGCAUUAACAUUCAUGCAUUUUUGUUGUCUGUUUAUUCUCACCCCUGGAUGCCAUGGAAUAGGUUCACAGUUAUUGUAUCAUUAUUGGUCCAGGAUCUUGUUGUUAUCUCACCCAUCGAACCGGGACCAUUAGCUGCAGUUUGGGAUCUCAUACUUGGGAUCAGAUGCUGGUAGCUUAAAGGGGUAAGUGAUCAUGGACAGGUAGUUUUCAUGAAGAAUUAUGCAUACAAUACUAAUGACUGUAGGAUAUACUAUAGCAAUGGAUGUCUUAGCCUUGCGGUCACUACCGCCGAGAGGAUCACACUUGAUCAUGUUUGAACCGUUAGGAUGAAGCACUAGUGCUUGUCCCCGAGUAGAAUCCAUAUCCGGUCUCUUUACAUCACCAUAUCUUUUUGCGAUUUUCUUAGGAUUUUAGAGAAGUCUUUUAGUCCGCAUGUGGACAUUUUCAUUAUUUUUGAAAAAAAAAAUCACAAAUUUGAAGAGGAGCUUACAUUAUAUCUUUAUGCUCCACACAUGGUCAUUUUCUCGCUUAGACCAUUCGGAUUAUAUUACUACCCUUUCGGUUCCACUUACACACUUUAGGAACCAAAUUUUGAGUCAAAGGGUUGUUAUUACAUUACCUUCAAGUAUAACAAAAAAAACAAAAAAAAAGGGCAGGCAAAUUCCCAGCUGCAGAAAUCUGAGAAGGGUGACCGGUUCAAUUAUUGAACUAAAUCUUCCAACAUUUUGGUCACCCGGCGUUUGAUAUUCAUUUAUUUAGGUAUGUUUUAUUGUAUAUAGAUCGAGUUGUUUUUCGCAAAUUGGUGAUGUUAGGGAGACUGUCGAGUCAGAUACUACGGGAGGUUUGGGCCAACACCAAGUGAUCCGAUUCCUACAACGGUGCCCGAGCGAUUAAACCUAGUUACACAUGAGAGAAACCGGCAAACGUGAGAUCAGAGUGUACAUUUAAAGAAGAGCUCCACCCGAGCCCAUCCAGCUGCUUUCUCCCUACUACAGAUAUUCUUCAUUGUAUGCAUGUUCCAUUGAGGCUGCGACUGCUCAUCCCUCCUUACUCACCUAAAGGAGUUAUCCUGGCUGUGGUUUAUGGUACCAUUGUCAUCGGAUGAAAAAUUCGUGAGGUAAUAGCAAGAUCAAUUUUGACCAUGUUGACUAACGGUGAUCAGGUUCUGCGGCUCUAUCCAUUCUUUUUAUUUUCUCUAGGAUAGUUCAUCCCAAGUUCAUUUUAGUCUUGUCUUACUUGAGGACAAGUAAGGUUUAAGCUUGGGGUGAUUUGAUAGUUAGUUUUGUUUACUUCUUUUUAUAGUUUAUUUUAGCAUAUUUCAUUCAUAAUUUAGAUAAUUUCCAUGCAUAUUUUCCAUUUUGUUAUUUUAUGACUAUUUCGGGUACUUUCGAAUCUUGUGAGCAUAAUUGCAGGUUUUCGGGUCUAGCGGAGCGGGAGUGUUCGGGACGUAUGGGAAGCGAUGAGAUUUGGUAGACAAAAAUGAUGUUAGGCUUGGUGAUUGUGGAGAUUAUGCAUGGAGCGAGCUUGAUGGUUAUUUGAAGGCUUGGAGAGAAAUAAACUUUAAAUUUGCAAGAUGCGGGAGUUUAUUCAAGCAUACGUAGAUUUUUAAUCGGGAGAGUGCACGAGCUUUGGAGGAUUUGGAGAGGUCAAAUUGGGCUUAAAAUGAAGAAAAACUUGAAGAAAAU